GGAGUUUGAUCCUGUGCUCAGCAUUGUAACUGCUGGCGGGCAUUGCUUAAGCACAUUGCAAGGUCUGAACGGUAACAGGCGGGUGCUUGCACCCUGUGCUGACCGCAUGUGGGGGACUGGGUGAGUAACAGCCGUAUGAGAAUCUGGCUUGGCAAGUCUGGGGGACAACCCCGUGUGAAAUCCUGGUGGCUAAUACCUGCAUAUCCCCCACGGGGGGAAAGGACGCGGGGAACCUUUUCGGAGGGCCGGUACGCUGCCGGAUGACGCCUGCGUUGGACUUAGUUUGUCUCGGUGGGGUACAUGGCCUACCCAAGGGUUACGAUCUUUAGCUNGGUCUGAGAGGAUGAUCAGCACAUUGGGACUUGAGACACUGGCCCAGGACUCCUACGGGAGGCAGCAGUGGGGCAAUAUUGGACAAUGGGCGCAAGCCUGAUCCAGCAAUGCCAGGUGUGUGAAGAAGGCCUAACGGGUUGUAAGAGCACUUUCAAUCGGGAAGAAAAGCGUGCGGUUAACAGACGGCGCGUCUUGACUGGUACCGAUACAGAAGCAGCUGGUAACUCCGUGGCAGCAGCCGCGGUAAUAACGGAGGGGUUGCAAAGCGUAAAUCGGGAAUUACUUGGGGCGUAAAAGNGCCACGGCAGGCGGUUGGUAAAAGUCAGAUGUGGAAAGGCCCGGGGUUCACACCUUGGGAACUGCAUUUGAUCACUGGCG
rnacentral:rRNA from 1 species